rnacentral:rRNA from 1 species
GGGUCUGAGAGGACGAUCAGCCACACUGGAACUGAGACACGGUCCAGACUCCUACGGGAGGCAGCAGUGGGGAAUUUUCCGCAAUGGGCGCAAGCCUGACGGAGUAACGCCGCGUGGGUGACGAAGGAUUUCGGUCUGUAAAGCCCUUUCAGUCGGGACGAGUCGCAGACGGUACCGACAGAAGAAGCAUCGGCUAACUACGUGCCAGCAGCCGCGGUAAGACGUAGGAUGCGAGCGUUGUCCGGAAUUAUUGGGCGUAAAGCGUACGUAGGCGGUCAUCUAAGUCUGGGGUUAAAGACCAAGGCUCAACCUUGGGAGUGCCCUGGAUACUGGGUGACUGGAGGACGGCAGAGGAAAGUGGAAUUCCCAGUGUAGCGGUGAAAUGCGUAGAUAUUGGGAGGAACACCAGUGGCGAAAGCGACUUUCUGGGCCGUUCCUGACGCUGAGGUACGAAAGCCAGGGGAGCAAACGGGAUUAGAUACCCCGGUAGUCCUGGCCGUAAACGAUGGAUACUAGGUGUCAUCGGUAUCAACCCCGGUGGUGCCGUAGCUAACGCGUUAAGUAUCCCGCCUGGGGAGUACGGUCGCAAGGCUGAAACUC